rnacentral:rRNA from 1 species
CUCGUAGGCUGCCAACUAAGUCAGACGUGAAAUCCCUCGGCUUAACCGGGGAACUGCGUCUGAUACUGGAUGGCUUGAGAUCGGGAGAGGGAUGCGGAAUUCCAGGUGUAGCGGUGAAAUGCGUAGAUAUCUGGAGGAACACCGGUGGCGAAGGCGGCAUCCUGGACCGACACUGACGCUGAGGAAGCGAAAGCCGAGGGACGACGAAC